ensembl:lncRNA
GACAAAGGUCUGGUUGUCAAUGAUACCUUUACAGCUAAAUUUACUCCAGAGUGACAUGAGCAGGUGCACCUCGGCCUGCCAGACACUUGUGCAGAGGGAUCACGCAUCUCACCGCUUGACGAUCAAGGGGGCAAAGCCUCGGUCUUCAUAGAAAAGGAGAGGAGGCAAGCGCAGCCCAAACUGGGGGGUUUCUCUUCAAAGCCAGCUGGUCUGGCUUUGUUCUACAGGAAUUUUUUACCUGUCAGAGUUUGGACAACAAAGCCCUCAGCAGGUGCUGACGGGAACAACUUCCUGGAGAAGCAGAAAGGCACUGCCCUUCCUUUCUUCCAUUUUUCCUGUCUUGUUGAGAAAGGAUCUUCCAAUGCAAUCCAGGCUGGCCUCAAACACCAGGCAAUACUCAUGCCUCAGCCUUCCAACUGCUUGGAUUAUAGACAAAGGCCAUCAUACCUGAUUUCUGCGGAGCCUUUUAAAAUGAAGAUGCCUAAGCCAUGCAUAGUAGUUCCCGGUUGCACUCAGAACACUGACGGCUGAGGCAGAGCUCUACAAGUAUGAGAACAAUCUGUGCAUAGCAAGUUACAAGCCAGCCAUGACUACACAACGAGACUCUCUCAAAUUUGUUUUUAGUUUUGUUCUUUUGGUUUGUUUAUUUGUUGUUGUUUGAGAAAUUAAAUAAAUUUUGAAGUACAUCUUUCUGACAUGGUGGGUAUAUGGACAAGGAGCGAUUCAGACAGUCAGGUUUUAACCCUUGCUGAUUCUGAGGACGGUCACCCGUGCUCACCAUUAUCCUCUCAAACCUUCUCAGUUCAGGAUCAGUUCUCAGGGUCCAAAGAGUUACAAAAUCCAUGUACUGUGAGCCCAUCUCCUGAGAGGCCAUCAGCAACAUAUGGCUACAGCUAGAAAUGUUCCUUUUGCUUUUAGCCAUUGUCCAGUAUAUUGAAUACUGUAGUGCUUUUGUAAUUCAUUCAUCUUUUUAUUUUAAUUGGCAAAUGAUAAAUAUCCCCCCACCAAAAUGGGCAAAGUCUUGAUGUUAUUCAAGUCUUAUACUUGUUUUAGACACUAAAUAAUAUAGUUUUAAGUAUGACAAAAUGGCUUCAACUAACUCUUCGGGAAAGGUAUUUUAGGAAAAUAUGACAGACAGUGAUUACUCUAAGAAUGGAUGCGUGCUUUCAGUAACCAAUAGAAUGCUCAAUCACUGCCUCUCUGGAGAAGCCGUAGGCUUAACUCUCCUCUGGAUGAGCUGUCUUAUGGCCAUAAGCUACACAGACUAGACCCUUACAGAGAGGUGAGGCUGAGUUAGGAACAUGUGGAUGGUAAAUAUAAAUCCUUCACAGAUAAUAAAUGAAACAAACACCAUUUUGUGCAUCAUGAAUCAUCACUAUAGCUAUGAGUAAGAAAAAUAUUAUAUAAAUUAUAUGACCAUAUUUUCAGGUUAAGAUCCUUGUUGGGGCAAUUUAUUUUGUGGUAGUUUUAAAACACUGGAAAAAUAUGAAUAGAAGUAUCCCACAGUUCUAAAAUAAAAAUAAUUUUACACAGAAGUGACAAUUAGUCAUUAAUACGAAAGGACCUUUGCUGUAUUGACAACUGAGAAGAAAUUUAUAACUGAAAAUGAAGGAUGAAGUAAAAAGAAUAGAAGGGACAAAGUGGAGAAGGAAAGGAAAGAGAAGAGACAAGAGAAAAGACAGAAAUUGUAGGUGACUAUUGCUAAAGAGGUCAAGGGAAACAAAAAACAUUGGUGCAAAAAGUUUCUCACGUCGUGCUCAGAAUCUCAGACACAAGACAAGCUGUCUUCUUUCCAAAUCUCUUCAGAAAGAUGACUAAUACUACAAACCCACUUGUCUGGUAAAGAUUGCUUCCGUCACUUCUUAUAUGGCCACACGAAGUUGGGGGAUGUUUUGUUAAUUUUUAUUUUAUUUCUAUUUUAUUUUAACAAAAAGACUUCCAUUUGUGAUCUUUAUAGAGGAGAUAGGGAUUGGGAUAAAGUGUAGCAAACACUGCCCUCUGAUCCUACAACACACCCACAUAGUGUGCCCUCCUUUCAAGAAAAGUGCUUAUUACAGACAGUUCUUCAACUCCCUUCAAGACACUACUGAGUAAUUUAUAAUUUUACACCUAAUGACUUUUAAUAUAAGGGAGUAUAUAUUCACUAAAUGAUAGCACGGAAGCUAUAACACAAAGGACAUGCAUAUUUUUAUUUAGUUGAUACGUCACUUGUGUGCAAAGAGAAAAAAACGGUAAAAAAGCAAAAGAAAUGGGAAUUUAUCAGGAGGGCAUGCACGUGGAUUUUCAAGGAGCUGGCAGAGAGCUCAGCUUCCAACCCAAUCUUUUCAGAAGCAAUAAUUUUUUUUCCCUCAAGUCAGAGCCAGCCUUCCUGUGCAUUUGCACUUACUUCCGUGUGUACUGUUAUGUGGCAGGCAAUGGAAUGGACUUGAGGCGGUAAAAGCCCUUUAGAAACACAGCAGGAAAUUUAUGGACUGCUCGAGACCCUUUGCAUUAUAAACUUUUUUUCCUCUUAAAAGU